GGCAUGUGAUAACACCUGGCUAUGAUGCAAACUCCCGAUUGUGCAGCAAGGAGGCCAACUGUGGUGAACUGAACC